CAUACGAGAAAUUUCCAUGAAAUUUGGAAGAUGGAAGGGAAGCGACCACCAUUACUGUCAGAUGGUCGGAGGAGGGGAGAAGGUGGCGCUGUGGACCCACCUCUCCUGCAUGGAGUGUCAGCCAGCCCACGGCUCCUCCACUCCUUCAGGAUCUCCCCUGUGGCUUCUCCGCGAAGUUCCAAGCUUCCUUCAAGCUGUCAGGACCAGGACUGCUGAGCUGCCGACCACCAGAUGUCGAGGUAGCAGCCUUGCCUGGACCACCUCCCUGGCUCCCACCAUUACGCGAGGCCUAGUUCCCAUAGUAAACCUAUGCUUUUCUGCGUCA